rnacentral:misc_RNA from 1 species
AGCAUGUCUGCUGUUUUUGCAAUUUCAACCUAAACACUAGAGAGCAUCCGAAGGACACCACAAAGAGCUUCGAGUAUAGCAUUGAUAUCCACGUGCGUUCCACGUGCACCAUUAAAAAAAUAAUAAUAAUAUUCAUGAUAAGGAAACACCUUUGCACCCCCCAUAGAAAAUGAGAGUGAAUUCAACAUCUGGCAAAUAAAG